rnacentral:rRNA from 1 species
AUUGAACGCUGGCGGCAGGCCUAACACAUGCAAGUCGAACGAGUGGCGGACGGGUGAGUAAUGUCUGGGAAACUGCCUGAUGGAGGGGGAUAACUACUGGAAACGGUAGCUAAUACCGCAUACCAUCGGAUGUGCCCAGGUGGGUGUAGCUAGUAGGGGGGGUAAAGGCGCACCUAGGCGACGAUCCCUAGCUGGUCUGAGAGGCUGACCGGCCACACUGGAACUGAGACACGGUCCAGACUCAUACGGGAGGCAGCAGUUGGGAAUAUUGGACAAGGGGCGCAAGCCUGAUGCAGCCACGCCGCGUGUAUGAAGAAGGCUUUCGGGUUGUAAAGUACUGUCAGCGGGGAGGCGUUACUCGCAGAAGAAGCACCGGCUAACUCCGUGCCAGCAGCCGCGGUAAUAC